AAACCAACAGGGAUUGCCUUAGUAACGGCGAGUGAAGCGGCAAAAGCUCAAAUUUGAAAUCUGGCGCCUUCGGUGUCCGAGUUGUAAUUUGAAGAAGGUAACUUUGGAGUUGGCUCUUGUCUAUGUUCCUUGGAACAGGACGUCACAGAGGGUGAGAAUCCCGUGCGAUGAGAUGCCCAAUUCUAUGUAAAGUGCUUUCGAAGAGUCGAGUUGUUUGGGAAUGCAGCUCUAAGUGGGUGGUAAAUUCCAUCUAAAGCUAAAUAUUGGCGAGAGACCGAUAGCGAACAAGUACAGUGAUGGAAAGAUGAAAAGAACUUUGAAAAGAGAGUGAAAAAGUACGUGAAAUUGUUGAAAGGGAAGGGCUUGAGAUCAGACUUGGUAUUUUGCGAUCCUUUCCUUCUUGGUUGGGUUCUCCGCAGCUUACUGGGCCAGCAUCGGUUUGGAUGGUAGGAUAAUGAUUAAGGAAUGUGGCUCUACUUCGGUGGAGUGUUAUAGCCUUGGUUGAUACUGCCUGUCUAGACCGAGGACUGCGUCUUGACUAGGAUGCUG
rnacentral:rRNA from 1 species